GACAGAGGAGCCAAGCGUUGUCCGGACUGACUGGGCGUAAAGCGCCCGCAGGCGGCCGUGCACGUGGGGUGUGAAAGCGCUCGGCUUAACUGAGCGAGGCCAUCCCAUACGGCGCGGCUCGAGCCGUCCAGAGGCCGGUGGAAUUGCCGGUGUAGCGGUGAAAUGCGUAGAUAUCUGCAGGAACACCCGUGGCGAAAGCGGCGCGCUGGACCACUACUGACGCUGAGGAACGAAAGCUAGGGGAGCAAACAGG
rnacentral:rRNA from 1 species